CCUACGGGAGGCAGCAGUGAGGAAUAUUGGUCAAUGGACGCAAGUCUGAACCAGCCAUGCCGCGUGCAGGAAGACGGCUCUAUGAGUUGUAAACUGCUUUUGUACGAGGGUAAACCUAGAUACGCGUAUCUGUCUGAAAGUACCGUACGAAUAAGGAUCGGCUAACUCCGUGCCAGCAGCCGCGGUAAUACGGAGGAUUCAAGCGUUAUCCGGAUUUAUUGGGUUUAAAGGGUGCGUAGGCGGUCUGAUAAGUUAGAGGUGAAAUGCCGAGGCUCAACUUCGGAAUUGCCUCUGAUACUGUUAGGCUAGAGAGUAGUUGCGGUAGGCGGAAUGUAUGGUGUAGCGGUGAAAUGCUUAGAGAUCAUACAGAACACCGAUUGCGAAGGCAGCUUACCAAGCUACGUCUGACGCUGAUGCACGAAAGCGUGGGUAGCGAACAGGAUUAGAUACCCGUGUAGUC
rnacentral:rRNA from 1 species